CCUACGGGUGGCAGCAGUAGGGAAUAUUGCUCAAUGGGCGAAAGCCUGACGCAGCGACGCCGCGUGAGGGAUGAAGGUCUUCGGAUCGUAAACCUCUGUCAGCAGGGAAGAACGGUCACUGUGCUAAUCAGCAGUUAAUUGACGGUACCUGCAAAGGAAGCACCGGCUAACUCCGUGCCAGCAGCCGCGGUAAUACGGAGGGUGCGAGCGUUAAUCGGAAUUUCUGGGCGUAAAGCGCUCGUAGGCGGUCCGUUAAGUCAGCGGUAAAAUUGCGGGGCUCAACCCCGUCGAGCCGUUGAAACGGGCAGACUUGAGUUGGCGAGAAGUACGCGGAAUGCGCGGUGUAGCGGUGAAAUGCAUAGAUAUCGCGCAGAACUCCGAUUGCGAAGGCAGCGUACCGGCGCCAGACUGACGCUGAGGCACGAAAGCGUGGGGAUCGAACAGGAUUAGAUACCCUUGUAGUC
rnacentral:rRNA from 1 species